rnacentral:rRNA from 1 species
UACGUAGGGUGCAAGCGUUAAUCGGAAUUACUGGGCGUAAAGCGUGCGCAGGCGGUUCGUUAAGUCAGCUGUGAAAGCCCCGGGCUCAACCUGGGAAUGGCGGUUGAAACUGGCGAACUAGAAUCUGGCAGAGGGGGGUGGAAUUCCACGUGUAGCAGUGAAAUGCGUAGAGAUGUGGAGGAACACCGAUGGCGAAGGCAGCCCCCUGGGCUGAGAUUGACGCUCAGGCACGAAAGCGUGGGGAGCAAACAGG